CUACGUGCCAGCAGCCGCGGUAAUACGGAGGGUGCGAGCGUUAAUCGGAAUAACUGGGCGUAAAGGGCACGCAAGCGGUUAUUUAAGUGAGGUGUGAAAGCCCCGGGCUUAACCUGGGAAUUGCAUUUCAGACUGGGUAAUUAGAGUACUUUAGGGAGGGGUAGAAUUCCACGUGUAGCGGUGAAAUGCGUAGAGAUGUGGAGGAAUACCGAAGGCGAAGGCAGCCCCUUGGGAAUGUACUGACGCUCAUGUGCGAAAGCGUGGGGAGCAAACAGGAUUAGAUACCCUGGUAGUCCACGCUGUAAACGAUGUCGAUUUGGGGGUUGAACUUUAAGUUUGGCGCCCGUAGCUAACGUGAUAAAUCGACCGCCUGGGGAGUACGGCCGCAAGGUUAAAACUCAAAUGAAUUGACGGGGGCCCGCACAAGCGGUGGAGCAUGUGGUUUAAUUCGAUGCAACGCGAAGAACCUUACCUACUCUUGACAUCCAGAGAACAUUC
rnacentral:rRNA from 1 species